rnacentral:snoRNA from 1 species
UUGAUUCAUGAUUGUAACUAUUGGGUGUGCAUGCUGUUGUGUGAAAUGUGCUUCUCUCCUGAAUCUUAUUAAGAUAUCAAUACCUUACCUGCCUGAU